rnacentral:rRNA from 1 species
UACGUAGGGUGCAAGCGUUAAUCGGAAUUACUGGGCGUAAAGCGUGCGCAGGCGGUUUUGUAAGUUUGUCGUGAAAUCCCCGGGCUCAACCUGGGAAUGGCGAUGAAGACUGCAAGGCUAGAAUCUGGCAGAGGGGGGUAGAAUUCCACGUGUAGCAGUGAAAUGCGUAGAGAUGUGGAGGAACACCGAUGGCGAAGGCAGCCCCCUGGGUCAAGAUUGACGCUCAUGCACGAAAGCGUGGGGAGCAAACGAGGA